rnacentral:rRNA from 1 species
CAGUCGCCGCGGUAAUACGUAGGUGGCAAGCGUUGUCCGGAAUUAUUGGGCGUAAAGCGCGCGCAGGUGGUUUAAUAAGUCUGAUGUGAAAGCCCACGGCUCAACCGUGGAGGGUCAUUGGAAACUGUUAAACUUGAGUGCAGGAGAGAAAAGUGGAAUUCCUAGUGUAGCGGUGAAAUGCGUAGAGAUUAGGAGGAACACCAGUGGCGAAGGCGGCUUUUUGGCCUGUAACUGACGCUGAGGCUCGAAAGCGUGGGGCGCAAACAGGAUUAGAUACCCCAGUAGUCCCUGUCUCUUAUAA